UCUACGGGGUGCUGCAGUGGGGAAUAUUGGACAAUGGGCGAAAGCCUGAUCCAGCCAUGCCGCGUGUGUGAAGAAGGCCUUCGGGUUGUAAAGCACUUUCAGUGGGGAAGAAAGCCUUGGGGCUAAUACCCUCGAGGAAGGACAUCACCCACAGAAGAAGCACCGGCUAACUCCGUGCCAGCAGCCGCGGUAAUACGGAGGGUGCGAGCGUUAAUCGGAAUUACUGGGCGUAAAGCGCGCGUAGGCGGUCUGAUAAGCCGGUUGUGAAAGCCCCGGGCUCAACCUGGGAACGGCAUCCGGAACUGUCAGGCUAGAGUGCAGGAGAGGAAGGUAGAAUUCCCGGUGUAGCGGUGAAAUGCGUAGAGAUCGGGAGGAAUACCAGUGGCGAAGGCGGCCUUCUGGACUGACACUGACGCUGAGGUGCGAAAGCGUGGGUAGCAAACAGGAUUAGAUACCCCAGUAGUC
rnacentral:rRNA from 1 species